rnacentral:rRNA from 1 species
GAUGAACGCUGGCGGCGUGCCUAAUACAUGCCAGUCGGGCGAACGGACGAGAAGCUUGCUUCUCUGAUGUUAGCGGCGGACGGGGGAGUAACACGUGAAUAACCUACCUAUAAAACUGGGAUAACUUCGGGAAACCGGAGCUAAUACCGGAUAUAAUUUUAAACGGCAUGGUUAAAAAUUGAAAGAGGGUCUUGCUGUCACUAUUAGAUGAUUCCCCGCUGCAUUAGCUAGUUGGUAAGGUAACGGCUUACCAAGGCAACGAUGAAUAGCCGACCUGAGAGGGUGAUCGGCCACACUGGAACUGAGACACGGUCCAGACUCCUACGGGAGGCAGCAGUAGGGAAUCUUCCGCAAUGGGCGAAAGCCUGACGGAGCAACGCCGCGUGAGUGAUGAAGGUCUUCGGAUCGUAAAACUCUGUUAUUAGGGAAGAACAUAUGUGUAAGUAACUGUGCACAUCUUGACGGUACCUAAUCAGAAAGCCACGGCUAACUACGUG